GCACCCUCAUCAAAUCAUCAUUAGAGCAUUGAUCAGAAUGGAAGCUGCUGAAUCUCCAUACCCAAAUUUGUCUCCAAAGGAAUCGCUAAUUAAGCGUUACAAGCCUAUUUGGCGUAUUCUAUUGAUCUCUAAUCUCGCUCUUGGAGCUUAUAUGUUUGCAAAGGCAAGGAAGAAAAAUUUGAACAUAGAAGAAAGGAAAACUGCAAAAAAGGAUGUGGAAGAAAGCAAAGCCCCAGAGGAAGAUUUCUUGGAUUCAACUACUCUCUCAGUUCCUGAGACUCCGUCCCCUGCUCCAGCUGUUCUAAAAGCAAAGCAGCCCAUACCUGAAGAUCAGCAGCGUGAGCUUUUCAAGUGGAUAUUGGAAGAGAAAAGAAAAGUCAAGCCCAAGGACCAGCAGGAGAAGAAACGAAUUGAUGAAGAGAAAGCCAUCCUCAAACAGUUCAUACGGGCAAAGGCCAUUCCAAGUUUUUAACUGAUGUUUCUAAAUUUUUUCUACAAAAAAUAGGAAGUUGAAAAGGAUUU
rnacentral:misc_RNA from 1 species